rnacentral:rRNA from 1 species
UACGUAGGCAGCAAGCGUUGUUCGGAGUUACUGGGCGUAAAGAGUGCGUAGGCGGUUUUUUAAGUUUGGUGUGAAAUCUCCCGGCUUAACUGGGAGGGUGCGCCGAAAACUGGAAGGCUCGAGGAUGGGAGAGGCAUGCGGAAUUCCUGGUGUAGCGGUGAAAUGCGUAGAUAUCAGGAGGAACACCGAUGGCGGAAGGCAGGUCUCUGGGCCACUACUGACGCUGAGAGCGAAAGCAUGGGGAGCGAACAGG